rnacentral:rRNA from 1 species
AUCACUAAGCGGAGGAAAAGAAACUAACCAGGAUUCCCCUAGUAACGGCGAGUGAAGAGGGAAGAGCCCAGCACCGAAUCCCCUACCCUCGCGGGUUGCGGGAACUGUGGUGUUUGGGAGAGCCUCUGAGGCGCGCGGCGGACCUUCCGAGUCUCCUUGACGGGGGCUUCGCCCAGAGCGGGUGUCAGGCCUCUAGGUUGCCCGCCGCCGUCUCUCUGAGCCUCCCCGGAGUCGGGUUGUUUGAGAUUGCAGCCCAAAGUGGGUGGUAAACUCCAUCUAAGGCUAAAUACUGGCACGAGACCGAUAGCAAACAAGUACUGUGAAGGAAAGUU